GAAAACGUAUGUACCAUCGCCCGCUCCUCGUAAAAAUGUUAUGAAAAGGAAAAUGGAUUUUAAGACGAACAUAAAACAGAUAGUGUGGGAUGAUGAGGAGACGCAGUCUCUUGUAAUAAAUGAAACACCUAAGCGAACGAAAAAAAUCACUAACAGCGAACGUACACGUACCACAGACGAAAGAAAAUGUAAAAGAAAAGACGAAAAAAAUGAAAAGAGGAGGCAAAGUUUCCCAAACGCACUUACAUUCUUUAACCUCAAUCCGUAAUGAG